rnacentral:ncRNA from 1 species
CAGCGUUCUCGGGGCGGGGUGUAACUCCCCACCGGCGGUGAUGAUCGACGGGACGUGCGUUCCGGAUAUCUCAGCCCGCGAGCGCCCGCCACCUCCCGGUGGCGGGGUCAGCAGAUUCGGUGUGAUUCCGAAGCCGACGGUCACAGUCCGGAUGGAAGAGAACGGGA